rnacentral:rRNA from 1 species
CAGCCGCCACGGUAAUACGUAGGGUGCAAGCGUUAAUCGGAAUUACUGGGCGUAAAGCGUGCGCAGGCGGUGUUGUAAGACAGAUGUGAAAUCCCCGGGCUCAACCUGGGAACUGCAUUGGUGACUGCAACGCUGGAGUGCGGCAGAGGGGGAUGGAAUUCCGCGUGUAGCAGUGAAAUGCGUAGAUAUGCGGAGGAACACCGAUGGCGAAGGCAAUCCCCUGGGCCUGCACUGACGCUCAUGCACGAAAGCGUGGGGAGCAAACAGGAUUAGAUACCCCUGUAGUCCCUGUCUCUUAUAC